GAGGUAGAGCGACUGAUAAGAUGCGAGGGCUUCACCGCCUAUCAAGUCUUGAUAAACUCCGAAUGCGCAUUAGUUCUAUCACAGGAGUGAGGGCAUGGGUGCUAAGGUCCAUGUCCUAAAGGAGAAGAAUCCGGACCAUCAGCUAAGGUCCCGAAAUAGAUACUAAGUUGAACUAACGAAGUCAGAUUGCUAAGACAGCUAGGAUGUUGGCUUGGAAGCAGCCAUUCAUUUAAAGAGUGCGUAACAGCUCACUAGUCGAGGAGUUUGGCGUGGAUAAUAAUCGGGCAUCAAGUAUCUUACCGAAGCUAUGGGAUCAUUAAUGAUCGGUAGGGGAGCAUUCCACUCCGCGUCGAAGGUGAAGCGUGAGCUUUGCUGGAGCGUGUGGAAAAGCAAAUGUAGGUAUAAGUAACGAUAAAGGGGGUGAGAAACCCCCUCGCCGAAAGACUAAGGUUUCCUGAUCAACGCUAAUCGGAUCAGGGUUAGUCGGGUCCUAAGGCUCAGCCGAACGGUGAGGCCGAUGGCAGAACAGGUUAAUAUUCCUGUACUACCUUAAGGAGUGACGUGGAGACGGAGUCGUGACAACGCCGCGGACUGACGGAAUAGUCCGUUGAAGGGUGUAGAUGUUGAUUGUGGCAGGCAAAUCCACCACGAGAGUCGAACCUGAUAGUAUACCAAUUCCUUCGGGAAACGGUAAUAGUGCGUGUAAGCAUACUCCCGAGAAAAUCCGCUAAACUUAAUCCUUGAGGUACCCGUACCGCAAACGGACACACGUAGUCGGGUUGAAUAUACUAAGGCGCUUGAGUGAUUCACGGUUAAGGAACUAGGCAAAUUGACCCUGUAACUUCGGGAUAAAGGGUCCCAACGAGAGUUGGGCGCAGAGAAUAGGUCCAGGCAACUGUUUAACAAAAACACAGGGCUGUGCCAAAUUGAAAGAUCACGUAUACAGCCUGACACCUGCCCGGUGCUGGAAGGUUAAGAGGAGAUGUCAUCGCAAGAGAAGCAUUGAAUUGAAGCCCCAGUAAACGGCGGCCGUAACUAUAACGGUCCUAAGGUAGCGAAAUUCCUUGUCGGGUAAGUUCCGACCUGCACGAAUGGUGUAAUGAUCUGGACACUGUCUCAACCGUGAGCUCAGUGAAAUUGUAGUAUCGGUGAAGAUGCCGAUUACCCGCGAUGGGACGAAAAGACCCCGUGAACCUUUACUAUAGCUU
rnacentral:rRNA from 1 species